CUUUUUCCUCUCUUCAUCUUUCCUCUUCCUAAUUCAUUCUCCCUCCCAAUUUUAAAUUUUCUCUUCCUCUCUUCACCUUUCCUCUUCCUCUUUUGUUCUCCCUCCUUCCAAUUUCUAAUUUUCUCAUCCUCUCUUCGUCUUUCUCUUCAUCUUUCCUCUUUCGUUCUUCCAUUUGUCAGGUUGAGUAUUUUCGUCAUAAAAGGCUUCUUAAAUCCUCCCUUGUCUCUUCCGGUCUCAGGCCCUGAUCUAUGGAGCAAAACUCUGGUGGCAUUUGUAGCAUAUGGAACUGUCGCAAUACACGAUCUGCUUGAUGCUUCUCAACGAGAUGAAAACAAAUCAUACCACAUCGCUUGACCGUUAUGACAUUGACGUGGAAGCAAUGUCAUAAUAAUGUGAGGCGUGUAUGAUGUCCAAUUAAUCUGUUAAAAAAAACUAACAUAAGUAAGCAAUAAAAAACAUGCCUACACAAUAUUGGUAAAAUAUUUUACUACCUGAGAGUUAAUCAGUCGAUCAAAAAACAUUCGGUAGGUGAUCAACAUAUUUACUGACAGUUCUGGCAAUAGUAUAACACCGCUCCAUCUAAUGUGAGAAAGGAAUCAUUAAUAAGUUAUAAACUAUGCAAAUUUUACUAAAAUAAUAAUAUAUAUAUAAAAAAUACCUAAAACUUAAAGGUCGACCAACUGACACCUCAGUUGGUACUUGUGGUGCCAGAAUAGGAAAUCUGUCAUAUGCCCAUACUUGCAACAAUAUUAAUGGGCCAACAAUCUCUAAAGAUCGUGCAUUACUCGCUCGACACAAUACCUAUACAACCAUGCGAGACAUGCAGCGCCCUAAGCAUACGUACCAGCCUGGUCAAAAUUAAUUAAAAGCAAGAGUAACAUACAGUGGACCAGGGUGUUUGAUUUGUCUGCAAAUAAAAAGCCUCCAAUUAACUGCAUAAUGUAUGCAAGAGCGUAUCUUUGAACGCUCACUACAUCAGCAUCCGGUGGAAAUUCUGUGAACUGUUCUGCCAACCAAGGAAGACUCAACCGUUGACCUUUCAUUUCAGGUGGACGAACUCCCAAGUAAUCCUCACAGAGUACCUUCCAGUCAUAUAACAACGACCCUACCACAGACUCACCAUCCACAGGUAGCCCAAACUGAAUUGCAACAUCCUGUAGUGUGAUCAUGCAUUCCCCACAAGACAUAUGAAAUGUGUGGGUCUCUGGUCUCCAACGCUCAACCAGAGCAGUAAUCAAAUGUCAGUCCAACUGCAUAAAUCCUAUAUGGGAAGCCCUUAGAAAUCCAGCAGCCUCUAAAUAUGGUACAAUACGCUGAUCGAAUGGGAUCGUGCGUUGAGAUGCUGCCUCUCUUCGUCGACAACCCAAAACAACUUUGGAGGAGGUCUCCCAUAUAGACUGUGAUCGAUGGGAUGGUUGUAGAUAUAGCUGCGUAGGAUCACUCAGCCCAGGUUCCAUUAUGCAAAUAACCUAAAAAAUAUCGAAAUACUAAGAGGAUCAAUUGGCCCAAAUUCCAUUACAUGAUCACAAUAUUAUGAAUUUAAGUUGUUAAUUUUAUAUAUCAAUAAAUUAUAAUUAAAGUAUUCAUCAAAGCCUAAGAUAUACAUCAAACAAUUACAUAGAAGUCGUGCAUUAAUAAUUACAAAACCCUAAAAUAGACAUAUCAGUGUCUUGAAGAAGAAGAAGCACGUUGAGUACAAAUACGUCUGUUAUGUCCUUCUACUUUACAGACUGUGCAUCUGAGUGAUUGACUAGACUCUUUCCAAUCCAUUUCAUUUUGGAUCCUAGUAGUUCUUGGUCGAUCAGAUCCUUUAAGUAAGUCUGCAUUGGGGCGAACUUCAGUGAAUGAUAUCUCUAGCCAAUAAUCUGAGUGUUGGAUUGGAUUGAAGUGACCGUCAUAACAACGUUUGAAUGAAGACAACAAGUAGCAUUCAUCAAUUUAUGGUAUGUACGUCAAGUGCAUGUAAUUACAAACUGCAAUUACAUGCGAACACAGAAUCUUAAACGACUGCCACUUAUUGCAAGAACAUAUCUCUUCCAUCAAACUUACUACCUGUGUGUGUUGGCCUUUGUAUGGAGAAAUCAUACUCAUACCCGUGUGAACCUCAAACGUCUGGGUUUCUUUAUCAAUAGAUGUCACUGAAUGUGCAGAAGCUCGUUUUUCCCACUUCUUAAGCUUUCUUAUCGCAUAUUUCGUAUAAAUAUCACCACGAUCGAGUGUUUCACUUAUCUCAGCUUGUCGACGUUCGAAAUAAAUAAUUGUGCGAUAAAAUGUUAGUCUAACCAAAAAAGUGAUGGGUAACAUUCGAGCUUCUUAAAAUACACCGUUCAUACAUUCAGCUGCAUUGCUUGUCAUCCACCCAUAUCGAGACCCAUUGUCAUGGAACUGAGUCCAUUUUUCCACGUCAAUAUCUUCAAAAAACUCAAGACACUCUGGGUUCAAUCGUUGUAGUAUUUUUAUUAUUUUUAUCAAUUUGCGCCUUUGGUGUUGAUUACCUGCCCUAAACACCAAAUCUUUCAGUUGCUUCGAUUUGUAUUUUUGAUUGAAGUUGCUAGCAACAAGACGAAGACAAUAUCGAUGGACAGCUCGAUGUUCACUCCAACCUACCUCUUCAUUUUUAAUGGCAGAAAGAAUGCGUCUAUGUCUGUCAGAGAUCAAGCAAAUAUCAUAUCGAUCAGUAACGUAUUCGCGAAGUGCAUGAAGAAACCAUGACCAACUAGACGUGUUUUCUCCUUCCACUAUAGCAAAUGCAAUAGGAAAUAUAUGACCAUUUGCAUCGAUAGAUAAUGCAGUUAACAUUUUUCCCUUAUACUUUCCAUACAAAUGGGUUCCGUCGAUCUGAAUUAAUGGUCUACAAUACUUGAACCCUUCUAUUGCAUGACCAAAUGACCAGAAAAACCUUCAAAAAAUGGUUGUACCUAGUACAUCGAAUGGAAGGAAAAAUCAAUCAACUCGAGUUCUCGGAUUAUAAUGUACAACGUCACUCAACCAGUACGGAAUCUCAUUAUAUGAUUUCUCCCAAUCACCAAAAACAGCAAUCAAAGCUUUUUUCUUCACUUGCCAAACUCGUCCAUACUUAAUAUUGUAACCGUAUUGUUGUUUUAUGAUUUUCACAAGCACUCGCACAGAAACACUAGGAUCAGCUUUCACUAUGUUUUGAAUUUGAACACUCAUGAAAUUAGAAUCUAGCUGUGAUUGAUUUUGUGUUAAAUUUGAGUAUAGACACAAGUGCUCUCAUUGGAGCUUAGUGAUUUCAAACAAUCCGUGACUCUUACACUUAGUAGCACGUAACCUUCAGUUGUAACUAUUACUCCACUGUUUGCAUUGAACAUUCCACAAAUGUUGGUUUGAUUCGACUACAACAAUUUCAUAGUGUUGUGUCACACAAUACCUCUUAACAACCAACAGAAGAUCUUCCUUACAAUCAAAUAUCAUUCCCUUCUGAAUUAAACAAGAUGUGUCUACAGAUACAUUUUUAUCUGCCAAUGUAGAGCCUUGUUUACAAACAGAAUUCGCAAUGUCCCAGUCUAUUUGUGUAAAUAUAUCGGACAGGAUCAUUUCAUUCUCUUCCUCUAUAUUUUCUUCAUUACCAAAUAGUUCAUCGACUUCUACAUCUAUAUCACUAUCUCCAUCAUUAUCAGGUUCAAGAAUAACUAAAUCUUUAGGUCGCAACGACAUAUUUAAUUAGCUGUUAAAUAUGAAGACGAUCAUCGGUUUAAUGUAUCUAUUUAUUUUAUUAGUAAUGUAGUGAACACAAUAAACUACAUUACUAUUAGUAAUGUAGUGUAUUGUGUACACAUUACUAUUUCAAUAAACUACAUUACUAUUUCUUCAUUACCAAAUAGUAAUGUAGUUUAUUGUGUGUACUACAUUACUAAUAAAAUAAAUAUAUACAUUAAACUGAUGAUCGUCUUCAUAUUUAACAGCUAAUUAAAUAUGUUGUUGCGACCUGAAGAUUUAGUUAUUCUUGAACCUGGUAAUGAUAGAGAUAGUGAUAUAGAUGUAGAAGUCAAUGAACUAUUUGGUAAUGAAGAAAAUAUAGAGAAAGAGAAUGAAAUGAUCUCGUUCGAUAUAUUUACACAAAUAGAUUGGAACAUUGCGAAUUCUGUUUGUGAACAAGGCUCUACAUUGACAGAUAGAAAUGUAUAUGUAGACACAUCUUGUUUAAUUCAGAAGGGCAUGAUAUUUGACUGUAAGUAAGAUCUUCUGUUGGCUGUUAAGAGGUAUUGUGUGACACAACACUAUAAAUUGUUGUAGUCGAAUCAAACCAACAUUUGUGGAAUGUUCGAUGCAAACAUUGGAGUAAUGACCGCAACUGGAGGUUACAUGCUACUAAGUGUAAGAGCCACAGAUUGUUUGAAAUCACUAAGCUCCAAGGAGAGCACUCGUGUCUAUACUCAAAUUUAACACAAGAUCAAUCACAGCUAGAUUCUAAUUUCAUGAGUGUUCAAAUUCAAAACAUAAUGAAAGCUAAUCCUAGUGUUACUGUGCAUGCGCUUGUGAAAAUCAUAAAACAAUAAUACGAUUACAAUGUUAAGUAUGGACGAGUUUGGCAAGCGAAGAAAAAAGCUUUGAUUGUUGUUUUUAGUGAUUGGGAGAAAUCAUAUAAUGAGGUUCCAUACUGGUUGAGUGUCGUUGUACAUUAUAAUUCAGGAACUUGAGUUGAUUGGUUUUUUCUUCCAUCCGAUGUACCAGGUACAACCAUUUUUGGAAGGGUUUUCUGGUCAUUUGGUCUUGCAAUAAAAUGGUUCAAGUAUUGUAGACCAUUAAUUCAGAUCGACGGAACCCAUUUGUAUGGAAAGUAUAAGGGAAAAAUGUUAACUGCAUUAUCUAUCGAUGCAAAUGGUCAUAUAUUUCCUCUUGCAUUUGCUAUAGUGGAAGGAGAAAACACGUCUAGUUGGUCAUGGUUUCUUCAUGCACUUCGCGAAUACGUUACUGAUCGAUAUGAUAUUUGAUUGAUCUCUGACAGACAUAAGAGCAUUCUUUCUGCCAUUAACAAUGAAGAGGUAGGUUGGAGUAAACCUCGAGCUAUCCAUCGAUAUUGUCUUCGUCAUGUUGUUAGCAACUUCAAUCAGAAAUACAAAUAGAAGCAACUGAAAGAUUUGGUGCUUAGGGCAGAUAAUCAACACCAAAGGCGCAAAUUGAUAAAAAUAAUGAAAGAACUACAACGAUUGAACCCAGAGUGUCUUGAGUUUUUUGAAGAUAUUGUCGUGGAAAAAUGGACUCGAUCCCAAGACAAUGGGUCUCGAUAUGGGUGGAUGACAAGUAAUGCAGCUGAAUGUAUGAACGAUGUAUUUAAAGGAGCUCGAAUGUUACCCAUCACUUCUUUGGUUAGACUAACAUUUUAUCUCACAAUUAUUUAUUUCGAACGUCGACGAGCUGAGAUAAGUGAAACACUCGAUCGUGGUGAUAUUUAUACGGAAUAUGCGAUAAGAAAGCUUAAGAAGUGGGAAAAACAAGCUUCUGCACAUUCAGUGACAUCCAUUGAUAGAGAUACCCAAACAUUUGAGGUUCACACGAGUAUGAGUAUGAUUUCAAUAUAUAAAGGCCAACACACACAUGUAGUAAGUUUGAUGGAAGGGACAUGUUCUUGCAAUAAGUGGCAGUCGUUUAAGAUUCUGUGUUCGCAUGUAAUUGCAGUUUGUAAUUACAUGCACUUGACGUACGUACCAUACAUUGAUGAAUGCUACUUUUUGUUUGCAUUCAAACGUUGUUAUGACGGUGGCUUCAAUCCAAUCCAACACUCAGAUUAUUGGCUAGAGAUAUCAUUCACUGAAGUUCGCCCUAAUGCAGACUUACUUAAAGAACCCGGUCGACCAAGAACUACUAGGAUCCAAAAUGAAAUGGAUUGGAAAGAGUCUAGUCAAUCACUCAGAUGCACAGUCUAUAAAGUAGAAGGACAUAACAGACGUACUUGUCCUCAACGUGCUUCUUCUUCUUCAAGACACUGAUAUGCCUAUUUUAGGGUUUUGUACUUAUUAAUGCAUGACUUUUAUGUAAUUAUUUGAUGUAUAUCUUAGGCUCUGAUGAAUACUUUAAUUAUAAUUUAUUGAUAUGUAAAA